rnacentral:lncRNA from 1 species
GGGGGUCUCAUUGGGGGGUUCCGAUCCCGGAUCCCGCUUACUGUUUUUGUCAGAUUCCCGUAUCCCGCUUACACUAUAUACGUAAGCAAUUCUCCUUUUUAUGUCAUUUCCCGGGUCCCGCUAGACCUCAUUUCCCGUUUUCACGACACAAUAAUUUGACUUUCACGUGUCACGCUUACAAAAUAUCGGCAAUCACGCGUCACGCUUAGACCCCAAUGAGACCCACAUCA